CACAAGCGGUGGAUGAUGUGUUUAAUUCGAUGCAACGACGAAAACCUUACCCACCUUUGACAUGUACGGAAGCCUUUAGAGAUAGAGGCGUGCGUCGAAAGAGAGCCGUAACACAGGUGCUGCAUGGCUGUCGUCAGCUCGUGUCGUGAGAUGUUGGGUUAAGUCCCGCAACGAGCGCAACCCUUGUCAUUAGUUGCCAUCAUUUAGUUGGGCACUCUAAUGAGACUGCCGGUGACAAACCGGAGGAAGGUGGGGAUGACGUCAAGUCCUCAUGGCCCUUAUGGGUAGGGCUUCACACGUCAUACAAUGGUCGGUACAGAGGGUUGCCAAGCCGCGAGGUGGAGCCAAUCCCUUAAAGCCGAUCGUAGUCCGGAUUGAGGUCUGCAACUCGACCUCAUGAAGUCGGAAUCGCUAGUAAUCGCGGAUCAGCAUGUCGCGGUGAAUACGUUCCCGGGUCUU
rnacentral:rRNA from 1 species